rnacentral:rRNA from 1 species
AUACGGAGGGUGCAAGCGUUGUCCGGAUUUAUUGGGUUUAAAGGGUGCGUAGGCGGGUUAUUAAGUCAGUGGUGAAAUACUUCGGCUCAACCGGAGGGGUGCCAUUGAAACUGAUGAUCUUGAGUACAGACGAGGUAGGCGGAAUUUAUGGUGUAGCGGUGAAAUGCAUAGAUACCAUAAAGAACACCAAUAGCGAAGGCAGCUUACUAGACUGUAACUGACGCUGAGGCACGAAAGCGUGGGUAGCGAACAGGAUUAGAAACCCCGGUAGUCC